rnacentral:misc_RNA from 1 species
AAAAAAGAAAGAUCUUACAAUUGUCAAAUGGAUGUAAAAAGAUCCUCUACCUAGAUUUUUGAAGUGCUUUAACAUGACCUCAAUGAAUUCAGUUUUGUUUAGUUGCCAAAACUAUUUUGAGCGCAAACCAGGGAUAUUCCUGAGGCCCAUCUUGCCAAGGACGAGCUUGGGGAUAGCAGGAGGGUUAUCAAGUCCCAUACUUCGACUAAACUCGUUAGCGAGCUCCACAAGCCUAUACUUGUCCUUACCCACCAGCUUACUGGAAUUGUAAUAACCUAACCAGGCCUGGUAUGCUGUUUCUUUAUUCUUCAUCUCAACAUGGGACAUGGCCCUUUCUACCUUUGUCUCUGUGUCUGGGUCCACCAGAGGGACUGAACCUUUUG